rnacentral:rRNA from 1 species
UGGGAAAAUGGUUAAUAUUCCAUUACUUCUGUGUAAUGCGAUGAGAGGACGGAGAAGGCUAAAUCAGCCUGGCGUUGGUUGUCCAGGUGAAAGGAUGUAGGCAUGUAUCUUAGGCAAAUCCGGGGUACUCUAUGCUGAGAUCUGAUAGCAAGCUGUACUUGUACAGCGAAGUGGUUGAUGCCAUGCUUCCAGGAAAAGUCUCUAAGCUUCAGUUACACAGGAAUCGUACCCGAAACCGACACAGGUGGUCAGGUCGAGUAGACCAAGGCGCUUGAGAGAACUCUGCUGAAGGAACUAGGCAAAAUGGUACCGUAACUUCGGGAGAAGGUACGCUGUUGUUGGUGAUGGAACUCGCUUCCUGAGCUGACGACAGCCGCAGAAACCAGGCCGCUGCAACUGUUUAUUAAAAACAUAGCACUCUGCAAACACGAAAGUGGACGUAUAGGGUGUGAUGCCUGCCCGGUGCUGGAAGGUUAAUUGAUGGGGUUAGCGUAAGCGAAGCUCUUGAUCGAAGCCCCAGUAAACGGCGGCCGUAACUAUAACGGUCCUAAGGUAGCGAAAUUCCUUGUCGGGUAAGUUCCGACCUGCACGAAUGGCAUAAUGAUGGCGGCGCUGUCUCCAGCAGAGGCUCAGUGAAAUCGAAAUCGCUGUGAAGAUGCAGUGUACCCGCGGCUAGACGGAAAGACCCCGUGAACCUUUACUGCAGCUUGACACUGAACUUUGACCUUACUUGUGUAGGAUAGGUGGGAGGCUUUGAAGCUGGAACGCUAGUUCCAGUGGAGCCGUCCUUGAAAUACCACCCUGGUAAUGUUGAGGUUCUAACUCUGUCCCGUGAUCCGGGACGAGGACCGUGUCUGGUGGGUAGUUUGACUGGGGCGGUCUCCUCCUAAAGAGUAACGGAGGAGUACGAAGGUGCGCUCAGCGUGGUCGGAAAUCACGCGUAGAGUAUAAAGGCAAAAGCGCGCUUAACUGCGAGACCCACAAGUCGAGCAGGUACGAAAGUAGGUCUUAGUGAUCCGGUGGUUCUGUAUGGAAGGGCCAUCGCUCAACGGAUAAAAGGUACUCUGGGGAUAACAGGCUGAUACCGCCCAAGAGUUCAUAUCGACGGCGGUGUUUGGCACCUCGAUGUCGGCUCAUCUCAUCCUGGGGCUGAAGCAGGUCCCAAGGGUAUGGCUGUUCGCCAUUUAAAGAGGUACGCGAGCUGGGUUUAGAACGUCGUGAGACAGUUCGGUCCCUAUCUACCGUGGGCGCUGGAAAUUUGAGAGGAUCUGCUCCUAGUACGAGAGGACCAGAGUGGACGAACCUCUGGUGUACCGGUUGUGACGCCAGUCGCAUCGCCGGGUAGCUAUGUUCGGAAGGGAUAACCGCUGAAAGCAUCUAAGCGGGAAGCCUACCUCAAGAUAAGAUUUCCCUAGGACUUUAUGUCCUCUAAAGAGCCGUUCGAGACUAGGACGUUGAUAGGUUGGAUGUGGAAGCAUAGUGAUAUGUGAAGCUGACCAAUACUAAUUGCUCGUGAGGCUUGACUA